rnacentral:rRNA from 1 species
AGUGAACGCUGGCGAUAGGCCUAACACAUGCAAGUCGAACGGCAGCACAGUAAGAGCUUGCUCUUACGGGUGGCGAGUGGCGGACGGGUGAGGAAUACAUCGGAAUCUACUUUUUCGUGGGGGAUAACGUAGGGAAACUUACGCUAAUACCGCAUACGACCUACGGGUGAAAGCAGGGGAUCUUCGGACCUUGCGCGAUUGAAUGAGCCGAUGUCGGAUUAGCUAGUUGGCGGGGUAAAGGCCCACCAAGGCGACGAUCCGUAGCUGGUCUGAGAGGAUGAUCAGCCACACUGGAACUGAGACACGGUCCAGACUCCUACGGGAGGCAGCAGUGGGGAAUAUUGGACAAUGGGCGCAAGCCUGAUCCGGCCAUACCGCGUGGGUGAAGAAGGCCUUCGGGUUGUAAAGCCCUUUUGUUGGGAAAGAAAAGCAGCAGGUUAAUACCCCGCUGUUCUGACGGUACCCAAAGAAUAAGCACCGGCUAACUUCGUG